rnacentral:rRNA from 1 species
UACGGAGGGUGCGAGCGUUAAUCGGAAUUACUGGGCGUAAAGCGCACGUAGGCGGUCAGGCAAGUCGGGUGUGAAAGCCCUGGGCUCAACCUGGGAAUUGCAUUCGAAACUAUCUGACUCGAGUAUGGGAGAGGGAAGCGGAAUUUCCGGUGUAGCGGUGAAAUGCGUAGAUAUUUGGAGGAACACCAGUGGCGAAGGCGGCUUCCUGGACAGUUACUGACGCUGAGACGCGAAAGCGUGGGGAGCAAACAGG